AGCAUUGAAACAUCAGUUCCGGUAUGAUCAUCACAGUUAAGCAACAUCAAGCCAGGACAGUACCUAGAUAGGUGACUGCUUGGGAAUACCACGUGCUGUAAG